AAUAGAUACCCAGUAGUCCACGCCGUAAACGAUGGAUGCUAGCUGUAUGCCGUAUCGACCCGGUAUGUAGCGAAGCUAACGCGUUAAGCAUCCCGCCUGGGGAGUACGGUCGCAAGAUUAAAACUCAAAGGAAUUGACGGGGACCCGCACAGGCGGUGGAGCAUGUUCUUUAAUUCGACGAUAACCGAAGAACCUUACCUGGACUUGACAUCCUGCGAAGGUCUCCGAAAGGAGAUUGUGCCUUCGGGAACGCAGUGACAGGUGCUGCAUGGCCGUCGUCAGCUCGUGUCGUGAGAUGUUGGGUUAAGUCCCGCAACGAGCGCAACCCUUAUGGUUAGUUGUAUUUUUCUAGCCAGACUGCCCCGGUAACGGGGAGGAAGGAGGGGAUGAUGUCAGGUCUUUAUUGCCCUUACGUCCAGGGCUAGAAACGUGCUACAAUGGCCGGUACAAUGGGCAGCCAACCCGCGAGGGGAGCAAAUCUCAUCAAAGCCGGUCCCAGUUCGGAUUGCAGGCUGAAACUCGCCUGCAUGAAGUCGGAAUCGC
rnacentral:rRNA from 1 species